rnacentral:misc_RNA from 1 species
GAAAUGCGAUACCUGGUGUGAAUUGCAGAAUCCCGCGAACCAUCGAGUCUUUGAACGCAAGUUGCGCCCGAGGCCACUCGGCCGAGGGCACGCCUGCCUGGGCGUCACGCCAAAACACGCUCCCAACCACCCUCAACGGGAUUCGGGAUGCGGCAUCUGGUCCCUCGUCUCUCAAGGGACGGUGGACCGAAGAUUGGGCUGCCGGCGUACCGCGCCGGACACAGCGCAUGGUGGGCGUCCUCGCUUUAUCAAUGCAGUGCAUCCGGCGCGCAGCUGGCAUUAUGGCCUUUGAACGACCCAACAAACGAAGCGCACGUCGCUUCGACCGCGACCCCAGUACCCGCUGAGUUUAA